rnacentral:misc_RNA from 1 species
UGGUUGCGACCGUGUCGGCGUGUGAGUUGUAAUUGAUGCGCAUGCUUUCGGCGGGUUCCCUGCAUCUUGCAGCUAACCGUCUGAUUUUGCCGUCCUAUUCGUUCUCGUGGGUCGUAAGCCUUGUGCUUGUUGGCGUCGUUCAUUGUUGCAUGUGUUGGGAAGCCACAUACUGUUGGUACGACUAUUCUUGAUGCGCACUUAAACGUCCUACCCGGGCCUUUCGGCUUGGGUGGGCGACAUGGAAAGGUGGUCCUUCAUCGGCUUUGUUAAGCAGCCAUUAUGUGCUGUAUGGCAAUCAGCCAUUUGGGAUUUGCCUUGGUUGUGAGGAUUUGGUGUAUUUGUUGGGGGUAUGCGGUACUUAACUGUGACCCAUGUUUGUCGGUUCCUCGGUUCAUUGAUGGCCGCUCCUAUGUGAAUGAUGCAACGUGCACGCUGUUAUGCAUCUUCCUGGCUUCGGGUAGGAAGAAUGCAAUUGGCGGUAUGUUU